rnacentral:rRNA from 1 species
UACGUAGGGGGCUAGCGUUGUCCGGAUUUAUGGUGCGUAAAGAGCGUGUAGGCGGCCAGGUAGGUCUGCUGUGAAAACUCGAGGCUCAACCUCGAGACGUCGGCGGAAACCAUCUGGCUAGAGUCCGGAAGAGGAGAGUGGAAUUCCUGGUGUAGCGGUGAAAUGCGCAGAUAUCAGGAAGAACACCCGUGGCGAAGGCGGCUCUCUGGAACGGUACUGACGCUGAGACGCGAAAGCGUGGGGAGCGAACAGG